GCGGGGCGCAGUGGUGCACGCCUGUAAUUCCAGUGGCUCUGGAGGCUGAGGCAGGAGGAUCUCAAGUUCAAAGCCAGCCUCAGCAAAAGUGAGGCACUAAGCAACACAGUGAGACCCUGUCUCUA
rnacentral:sRNA from 1 species